rnacentral:rRNA from 1 species
GUACGCUGGCGGCACGCCUAACACAUGCAAGUCNAACGAAGUAGCAAUACUUAGUGGCAGACGGAUGAGUAACAUGUAGGUAUCUGCCCUUUGGCCUGGAAUAACACGAGGAAACUUGUGCUAAUACCGGAUAAGUCUUUACGGAGAAAGCUUUAUGCACCAUUGGAUGAGCCUGCACUUGAUUAGUUUGUUGGUNGGGUAAUGGCCUACCAAGACUGUGAUCAAUAGCUGAUUUGAGAGGAUGAUCAGCCACAUUGGGACUGAGACACGGCCCAAACUCCUACGGGAGGCAGCAGUGGGGAAUCUUGCACAAUGGAGGAAACUCUGAUGCAGCGAUGCCGCGUGAGUGAAGAAGGCCUUUGGGUUGUAAAGCUCUUUCGUCGGGGAAGAAAAUGACUGUACCCGAAUAAGAAGGUCCGGCUAACUUCGUGCCAGCAGCCGCGGUAAUACGAAGGGACCUAGCGUAGUUCGGAAUUACUGGGCUUAAAGAGUUCGUAGGUGGUUGAAAUAGUUGGUGGUGAAAUCCCAGAGCUUAACUCUGGAACUGCCAUCAAAACUUUUCAGCUAGAGUAUGAUAGAGGAAAGCAGAAUUUCUAGUGUAGAGGUGAAAUUCGUAGAUAUUAGAAAGAAUACCAAUUGCGAAGGCAGCUUUCUGGAUCAUUACUGACACUGGAGGAACGAAAGCAUGGGUAGCGAAGAGGAUUAGAUACCCUCGUAGUCCAUGCCGUAAACGAUGUGUGUUAGACGUUGGAAAUUUAUUUUCAGUGUCGCAGGGAAACCGAUAAACACACCGCCCUGGGGAGUACGACCGCAAGGUUAAAACUCAAUGAAUUGACGGGGACCCGCAC